UACGUAGGGUGCGAGCGUUGUCCGGAAUUAUUGGGCGUAAAGGGCUCGUAGGCGGUUUGUCGCGUCGGGAGUGAAACCUCGGGCUUAACUCGGGCUUGCUUUCGGAUACGGGCAGACUAGAGGUAUGCAGGGGAGGAACGGAAUUCCUGGUGUAGCGGUGAAUGACGCAGAGUAUCAGGAGGAACACCGGUGGCGGAAGGCGGUUCUCUGGGCAUGAUCUGACGCUGAGGAGCGAAGCGUGGGAGCAAACAGG
rnacentral:rRNA from 1 species